rnacentral:rRNA from 1 species
GACGAACGCUGGCGGCGUGCCUAAUACAUGCAAGUAGAACGCACAGUUUAUACCGUAGCUUGCUACACCAUAAACUGUGAGUUGCGAACGGGUGAGUAACGCGUAGGUAACCUGCCUGGUAGCGGGGGAUAACUAUUGGAAACGAUAGCUAAUACCGCAUAAUAUUGAUUAUUGCAUGAUAAUUGAUUGAAAGAUUCUAUUGCAUCACUACCAGAUGGACCUGCGUUGUAUUAGCUAGUAGGUGAGGUAACGGCUCACCUAGGCGACGAUACAUAUCCGACCUGAGAGGGUGAUCGGCCAAACUGGGACUGAGACACGGCCCAGAAUCCUACGGGAGGCAGCAGUAGGGAAUCUUCGGCAAUGGACGAAAGUCUGACCGAGCAACGCCGCGUGAGUGAAGAAGGUUUUCGGAUCGGAAAGCUCUGUUGUAAGAGAAGAACGGGUGUGAGAGUGGAAAGUUCACACUGUGACGGUAUCUUACCAGAAAGGGACGGCUAACUACGUG